rnacentral:lncRNA from 1 species
AUCUCUGGUUAGAGUAAACUGUUAAGACUUAAAACUUACUCAUUUACCUUUCACCAUGGGACUUGUAACUGUCACUUCUGUCUUGAGUAGUUAAAAGAUAGAACAGUCUAGUCAAGUGCCAUGUCUCUUAUUCUUGAUCAGCUAUAGCUCUGGGGUUUUUGCAGAUUUUCAAAUAAAACUCAGAGAUUCCUUGUAUGACUCUCUCAAAUCUCUCUUUUGUGGUAUUUCUGGAUCCUUACUAAGGCAGUGAUGGUAUACGCCUUCUCUCAAAAUCUGUAGUAUUUAUGGUAUAAAGCAUAGUGGCAUUGCCUUCUCUCUCACCCUACUCUAAUAAGGCUUUAAUAUCUGGAGCUCAUAGGUGGGAGACAGCUAAUACAUACUUACAAAACAUUUAUUGCAUAGUCAAACCAUGGAUCCAGAAGAACAAGUCAAUAAGUCAAAUCAAGAUGUGCAUGUGUGGCGUAUGAAUGAUGUAUGGUGACGAUGGUAAUAACAAUGGUGAAAGUCUAAUUCUACUUUUGCUCUUUUGAGGGGGUACAUACCUUUCUUGCUCUUUUGAAACUUUUUGAGGAAAAUGAGAUGCUCUAUAUUUUCUUUUUCUUUUCUCUCAGGUGGGUAUCUUGUACCCCUAAUUCUACUUCGGACACUUGUCCAUUUUUACCUCUCGUCUCACUUUUUCUUUUCUUUCGAGGUUCCAGGCACUUGCCCCUUUUUAUUUCCUCGUAUUCUUUCUUUUUUUUUUUCUUUCUUCUUUGUUUUUUCUUUUUUUUUAGAGCACUCAUCUCCUGAAAUAAUAUAGCAAGUGGUAGUAACCAAGAUAACUCGAGCAUUUAUUUCACAGGAGAAAAUAGAAAUAGGAGAAUGUUUUUGGCUAUUCUCUCCCGGAUUAGGAGUAGAAUAUUUUUGGGUGGUUCUGGAGAUGGAAAUAGAUGGAUAUAUGUGGAUGGUACUUCUGGAGUAGAAGUAGCAUGUGUGAGUGAACGUGCAAGUGAAUCUUGAUUUAACCACAUGACAAGCUCCUAAGGGUCUACACAGCUUGACCACACUCAAUGCUCAUAAGCAGUAAAAAAAAUAAUAAACGUGUGGUUCAAAGUCUAGCAAGCAUGUAUAUAUGGCUGUGGUAGGAUUUUAAACUCUCAUCAUACAGGAACUCAUCAUGCAACAUUUUAAAGAUUUUCAAAGAUAAAAUUCUCCAGAAUUCUAGCAUCUCUAAGAACAGAUAAACAGCAGCUCAACCUUCCCAUAUCAUAUCCGUUAACGACUUAAACUUUAGAUCAAGUACUGUUCCCACAAGUUCAGGUUUAGAGCAAAUCUUAAUUAAUAACAGUCAUGCCUAAACUUGAGAGAGAUUUCAAUUUUGAGAACUAGUCAUGGUAGAGCAACUAUUCAUCAUUUCCAUAUGAGAGCUUAUCACGAGGGUUCAUAGCAAAUUUUAUUUAUUUAUUUAUUUAGCAAACUAAGCAAAGAUAUAUAUAUAAGCACAAAAUCUUUAUUUGGGUUUUUAUGAUUAUGCAUUUUUUUAUUAUUUGAGUAAAGUAUAAACGUGAGUAGAACACUUAGCUGGAUAAAUGGGGGUGCUCUCCCCCAAGCUGGAUUUUGACAUAAUUUCUUCUGAUGUAGCUAGCAGGUGGCGGAGGUGUAUUUGAAUGUCGGCAGCACUCUGACAGCGAUUACGAUGUCCUCUGUCUGCUAGUCUUCUUUGAUCCUUGAAUUCUGUGGAGCUCAAAUAGACAACAAAGCUUUGUGGAACUAGUUAAGUGUUAUCAUAAAUAUCUAGCCUUUAUCAUGUUGAGCCCCCUCAAUAAAUGUUACUCAUUAGUAGGAUCAUAAUUUUAUUUUUAUAGGACAAGAAUAUAUUUAUUUUAUUUUUAUGCCACCACAGUGAAUGUACUUAUGGGUUUUAUGCCAUGAGCAUACUCACAUGGGGCUUACUAUUUUUAACAUUUUUAUUUUCUUUUUAAGAUGAUAUGAACCUGAUUAACUAAGCAAACUAUUUUAAAUAAUUGAAAGGGAAAAAGGAUAACUACCAAGUUUAACUCUUACCAAGGCGUUCGGUGUUUUUAAGUCCUCCGAACGGGACUCUCUAUUUUCUCAGUUGUCCUGGGAUUCGCUGGAUGGCGUAGUCAGUGGUUCCGGCAGCGCCUGGUCUUCAUGUAUAACUAUCUUCUCUCUCCACACCUGACACGGUGCUAGGGUCUCCUCAGGACAGUUCUGUUCGAGUUGUAUGUCUUCAGACCUUACCACUUCUCCUUCAUAAUCCGCCCAUUCGUCCUUGAUAAUUUGCCUACUCUGGUUGCGGUUGCGUCGUCUUCUUCUUGUCCUGACCUGCUUAGAGUCUUUCAACUAUGUAGUUAAGGUUAGUAAAAUAGUGGCGUACCUUUUCAGAGGGGAAGUGCAUGUGGAUUCUGCCGGUUCCAAUGUAGAUGAUUGCUUUAACGGUGUUGAGGAACGGUCUCCUAAGGAUGAUGGAUGGAUCGUACUUGUCUUCUCCCAUGUCAAUAACCUUUAAAUCAUCUAGAGCUGAAUGUAUGUUGUUUUAGGGGCAUGGUUCCGAACAGGAGCUGAUAGGUGACUGCGGCCAUUAUGUUGACGUUAGAUCCGGUGUCGUAGAGUGUCUUCUGAAAAGAAUAUCCAUUGAUUGUGCACUCGAUGCUUGGGACACUAGGGUCAUCCUUCUUGAUCAAGAAAGGUGACUUGAGUUGACGAUCUUGACCUCCUUGAGCUGCAGUGACCAUCUUAGCUGACUCAGUACACAUUUACUUGUUCUUGUUCCUACUGUUCGUCCUUUUCCUUGGUUCAUGUCAGGAUUGCUCUGGGAUUUGUGUAGUCUUGUUCUUGAAGGAAAAUGUCUCAUUUCUCCCUUUGAUGUAGAAACUGAUCUUGGCAGUACUAGCGUAGAUGACAGCUCCCGAGGUGUUCAGGAAUGGCCUCCCUAAAAUGGGUGCCCUCUCAUCAGUACCAGUCUCUAUCACCACGAAGUUUGCUGGGGCGUACAAGGUACCAACUCGAACGCAGAGGUUCUUCAAUAUUCCCUUUGGGAAACUUAGUGUCUGAUCUGCAGGCUUGGGCAUAAUGUUGAUGCUGGAGCCAAAGUCGUAGAGUGCUUCUAGGAAGUCCACCAUGCCGAUGGAGAUCGGGAUGACAGGGCGUCCUGGGUUGUCUCUCUUGACCGGCAGAAGGUCAGUAAUUACUUCCACUACGGGGUUACUCCAGUAGUUACAUCCUCGAGCAUCUCAGGACAGUGAUUGCCUGAGUGUCUUGUAUCUCCAGUGUGUUUGUGCUCCUAGAUCUAGGUUCUUCACUUGGUGGAGUCUGGGAGUUGUAAAACUCCUUCAUAUUUUGUUUGAAGUGUACCUGCUCAUAAAGACAAGGCAGAGAUCAAGUGCAUGGGCCCUGUUGGUGGAAAACACCAACAGAACCAAAAGUGUAUUUGUUCUUCUCUAACCUUAAGCAUAGUGAGCAAGACAAAGUUGAAGGAUAAUAAGAUCAUGAGUAUAACAUUUAAAAUAUUUGUCAGAUCAGAACGCUCAGCCUAAUGGAAAGAUAAUCUAUCUAUAUUUAUGUUGUUUUGUUUUUUUUUAUAAAAUAUAUCUUCCAAAGAUUGAGUGUGCAACAUCUUAGCUCAUAUGAUUAGGAGUGUGGGAUCACAAAGGUGGAAUGACUAAACAUAUUGAAUCGACUGGGUUGGUUAAUCUAGAUUUGUAAAUCAUACAUGUUUGUCUCUUUUAUUCAUGUGAACGCCAGAACCAAGGAGAAGCUUAUAAAAGUGAUAGUCAAGUACCUUAAGAUGUUACCUUACUUGAAGAGUGAUGGUACGGUAUCUCCUUGUGGAAGCUUUCCUUUCUUAGCGGUUGUGCAUCGUGUUUGUAGCACCCUCCAUGGAUCAUCUCUUGUGAGCUAUGCCUUCCUUGUGUAAAUUGUUAAACUUCAUGUGUCUCUCUCUUUGUCAAAAAUGUGAGUGUAUCUCAGGACUUCCCAGGUCGAUAGUGAAAGUUUUCCUGCAGGGGUUAGUCCAACAAAAUAUCCCAUAUCUACUAUAGCAUACUAUCGGCUCAAAAAUCAACCUAGACACCAUGUCUAAUUUGAUUCAGGAGGGCUUUUUUAACCUAAGCACCAUGCUUAAUUUAAACUCCCUUAGAAGUAAGAUCAUCAGCCCUAAACUAAGCACCAUGCUUAAUUAAGAGAUAAAUGAAACUACUCCAAACCUACACAUAUACUAAAACAAAUAAAGGUAGCAUGAGAGCAUUUAUAGAGAUCUACUCAAGUGGGGAUGAAGUAGUGUGAUUAGUAUUUAACAAAAUUGAGCAUGUCUCAAAGGUAGGGACAACCAACAUAGCAACAUGGCAAAGGAUGUUUUUAAUGUAAAGUACUCCCCCAAGCUUGAAUUUUUCAAAAUUCAAGUUUGGAUGAAUUUAAUUCAAUGUUGUAUGAUGAUUGGUUGGACAUACCUUGUGCUUGUCAUUCAUCCGAUCUUCUUGCUCCAAUCCUGGAAAGGUUAGUGACAAGAAUACCCGAAUUUUUUUUUUUACAAUUAUCCUUAUAUGCUCAACACACAAGGUAAUGUUGCAAAUAAUUAAAAGUUUAUGUUAUGGUCUGAUCAGUGCUUGUUUUAGGACACUAAGCUUGUCCUUGGGAAACCAUCAAUUUAUGUCAGUGAAGUGGUUUCCCCUCCAACGCUGACCUAUAUCAAGAUCAACUCAACGAGAUCUGCAAAAUUUAUUAUAAACAUAUGCAUCGACAACCGCCCUUUUAAAGUUUUUAUAAAUAGAAAGGAAGAGGGGGUUGGAGAUCUCGAAUGUGGUGAUGUUGGAGAGACCAAUGGAUUGUGAAGAUGUUGCAUAUGAGCAUGGAGUAAAUGAAGUGGCUAUGAAAUAAAUUCCAUGCUCAUUAAUGCUUAUAGUGAAAUCCAUGUGGUACGGUGAAAAUGAUAAGGUGAGUGUGGUAAAAAAAGAAAAGAAAAAGGAUACACGGACGACUUGGUUCGAAACUAGCACAGCUACCAUUCCCCGGCAACGGCGCCAGAAAGCUUGUUGGGUAUUUUAAACGCAAAUAGAAAAAACCGCAAGCGCACGGAUACCGAUGUAGCCUUCACCCCGGAGUAUUCCAGAGUAUCGAUUUUCCACAGGAAACGUGAGUGUACUAAUUAAGAUCCAAGAUCGCCCAAGGAUAACUAUAUGAUUAUUUUUGGUGGGAAGAGAGGAAGUUUCCUGAGAGUUCUCUAGUUGAUCUAAGAAUCAAGAAUUACUUCAAGAUUAUCUAUAUCGGGACAUCAGAGCACUAACCACAGAAAGAGAUGAGAAGGGGGCUAGGAAGGUCUGACUACGGUCCUACAAACACCGAUCCGAACGUGGUGGAAUACGUCGACCAUUAGGGCUGUCACUACCCUAGGGCUACCACAACAAUCCGUAGGAUUGGGUGCAAUUCCAGGUAAUCGCAAGACUAAACACCACGUCUAAUCUAUUAAUUACUACUCUAGCGUUAUAAAGACUAGAGCACUUGAUGCAAGCGGGAAUCCAAUAAAUAACUUGAAUGUAAAUAAAAGUAAUUAGAGAACUCAGGAGCUAUGAAUUGAAGAACCUGGAGAACGAUGAAGAACGAACCAGUUGCUGCAAAAGUACAAUGUUGAGGAAGAUUCGACAGAUCCGGCUCCUCCUCCGCUCUCCUCUUCUCUCUCCCUAUUUUCUAGAUUACAACUAGAACUAACUAGAACUAGAGGAACUAGAACUAGAACUAGAUGAACUAGAACUAGAUCUAGAUGAACUAGAGGUAGAACUAGAAGAACUAGAGGGAUCCUCUCUACUUGGAUGAAGAAUUGAAACCCUAGCUUUGAUUCUGUAGAAGAGGUAUGCUCUCCAGGGGCCAGGGGGUCUGGUUUUAUAGUCCCUUCAAGUGAAUCUGGGCCGUCAGAUCAAACCGACAUUGAUUGAACGGUUAUUGUUGAUCCUUUAGGUCGGUGGAGCAAUAUCCCGAAAGAGAGUCCUGAUUGGACUCUGGCUGAGGGCGGGCGCCCUGUCCCUGUGUCCUCUCGGCCUCCGCUUCAGUCCCGUGGCUUCUGUAGUGUUCUAGAUGAUAGAAAAUUGCGCGGCACGUUAAUAUCUCUAUGUAAAACCGACGUGUGGUCCUUUCUUCCGUAUUUCCUGAUAACCCCCUGCAGAAAUACACAAACACCAAAACUCGUAGAAUUCUGUCAGAUAAAACCCUAAGUCUAGGUGUUGGUUACAUUUGGAUCCUUUUCUAUGAUUAAUUGAUGGUUAAAUAUAAGCAUUAAGGACCAUCAACACACCAAAAGAAGACAGUGACCCACCUCUUAGUCCAAAAGAAGAACCACAGAUGCCAGAAGCAUGAUCCACCUCUACACCAAGGGAAUGAAGCCGUUCUGUCCGAAGAAGUUGAAGAAUAAUAGCACCUAGUUCCUCCUUAUGUCUUGGGGAAGUGAAGUUUACUUCACUUUUGUUCAACCCCCAAAGUAGAUGAACCGUAUUGUAGUACGCUUAUUUCCUCCAUUACUAUGUUGUAAACCGCCCUCUUAUUCAAAAUAUAUAUUUGUGCUUGUUGGUUGUGCUAAAUAAUUGAGUGCUCUAUGUUGUUCCCUUACGGGAUAGCAAGUCUUAAAACUUGCACCUUUUUAAAAUAUAAUGUCUUAACAAAAAAAAAACAUCACUCAAUAGAUCUAACUCUUAUCUAAUGCUUUCUCAUCUUAACCAACAGAUGCCUCCCAAACCAGCUACCCACUCUCAACCAAGUGGUCGUGCGGCUAGUAGACAAAGCCAAAAUCCAAAUGGAAGUCAAGCCAAUGCAAAUGUUGAUGGUAUUCAUGAAGAUGAAGUGAGUCAGACUAGGAACCAUAAUGAAGGAGAUGACUUGCCCCCUCCUCCAGUAGUUGACUUAGCACAAGUCAUGGCAACUCAGACUCGCCUUCUAGAGACCUUGGCUCAAGGCAUGAACCACCCCAGGAACAACCAUGGAGCCGGAGUCCAAGACAAGAUGACUGAGUUCAUGAGGCUUAAGCCACCCACCUUUACUGGAUCUGACAACCCCAUGGAAGCAGAUGAUUGGCUUAAGGUGAUUGAAAGGAAGUUGGACACAAUCCACUGCGAUGGAAGGGAUAGAGUUCUGCUAGCAUCUCAUCAGCUGACAGGAAUUGCCCUUUCUUGGUGGGAAGCCUAUAGUGGAGCUGUGGACAAUGCCAACACGAUCACAUGGGAAGAAUUUGUGGACGAAUUCCGCCGGUACCACAUUCCCGAUGGGAUCAUGAAGCUGAAGGCUGCUGAAUUUCGCAACUUGAAGCAAGGAAAUAAAACUCUGAGUGAAUACAUCUUCCAAUUCACUGAGUUGUCUCGCUAUGCCCCAGAAUUGGUCAACACUGAUGCCAAGAAGCAGACAAAGUUCAUAGAAGGCUUGACCUGUGAGCUUAGAACCCUCAUGACCCCACAGAUCUAUCCAGACUUCAACACCUUGAUGAACAGGACCGUUCUGACUGAUGUGGCCAAGACCGAAGAAAGAAAAGAAAACAAGCGCAAGUUUCUAGAGCGCAAGGUUCAAGAUGGUGCUAGAUCCCAGAGGCUGAAAACCUUUAGCCAACCAAGCCAGCGGACUCAAGCCCCAAUGCAGUUUCGCUCUCCUGCUAGUGUCUCCAAUAACCAAAUGCAGUCAUCAUAUCAGCCUAAGACAACCUAUCAGAAUCAAACUUAUGGCAAGACUCAAUAGAACAGCACUGGUCAAGUCACAAACAAUGUUAGGACUUGCUUUAAUUGCCAUGAGACUGGACACUACAUCGCCAACUGUCCCAACAAGAACAACCCACCAGCAGUAUCCACUCAGUCCCACACUGUUAUUGGACCAAGACCUGCAGUGUCUGGAGUCAACCGUGGUUUCCCUCGCAACAAUAGCAACACCAACAAUAAUAGACAGAUGAUGAAGCAACCUCAACAAUCCUAUGGUAGAGCCCGUGUCAACCAUAUUCAUGCUCAGGAUGCUCAGACUGCUUCAGGAGUGGUACUUGGUGAGUUCUUAGUCGAUUCAGUACUUGCAACAGUAUUAUUUGAUUCUGGAGCAUCACAUUCAUUCAUAUCAUCAAGAUUUGUUGAGAAGCAUCAAAUACCCACAGUACUACUAAAGUUACCCCUAAUAACUCGAACACCUGGGUCUGACAUCAAAUGUCAUCUAGGUUGUUCAAAUGUAAGGAUCAUUCUAAGUGGGGUAGUUUUCUUAGCGGACUUAGUAGUGCUCAAGUCCAAAGGAAUAGAUGUUAUCCUUAGAAUGGAUUGGUUAACCAGACACAAUGGAAUUAUUAGUUGUGCAACCAAGGAAGUAUCAUUAGUUAACCAUGAAGGGAUUAAAGUGAAAUGCCAAACCCGAGGGUCUAAGCUUAAUCCAAUGGUCUUCAACUUGGAUGCAAGGACCAUAGAGGAAGUACCAAUAGUGCAAGAAUACCCUGAUGUAUUCCCUGAGGAACUACCUGGAAUGCCACCAGACAGGGAUAUAGAGUUCAUCAUUGAUCUUAUCCCCGGACUGCCCCCAUAGCCAAGAGACCUUACAGAAUGGCUCCGGCAGAGUUAGCUGAACUGAAAGAGCAGCUAAGAGAAUUGCAGCAGAAAGGUUAUAUUAGACCUAGUUCUUCACCAUGGGGAGCCCCAGUCUUGUUUGUGAAGAAGAAAGAUGGAAGUAUGACGAUGUGUGUGUAUUAUAGGUCCCUAAAUGAAGUCACCAUCAAGAAUAAGUAUCCCCUGCCAAGGAUAGAUGACCUUUUUGAUCAGCUUAAAGGAGUCAAGUAUUUCUCUAAGAUUGAUUUGAGAUCGGGUUAUCACCAGCUCAAGAUCAAGAAUAGUGAUGUUCCCAAGACAGCCUUUGUAACCAGAUAUGGACAAUAUGAGUUUACAUUGAUGUCCUUUGGAUUAACCAAUGCCCCUGCCUAUUUCAUGAACCUCAUGAAUAAGGUAUUCAUGGAAGAGUUAGAUAAGUUUGUUGUAGUCUUCAUUGAUGACAUACUUAUCUACUCUAAGAGUGCUGAAGAACAUGGGCAACACUUGAGAGUAGUGCUGGAAAAGCUAAGAAGACACAAGUUGUAUGCUAAAUUCAACAAGUGUGAAUUUUGGCUUGAGAAGGUUGCAUUUCUAGGCCAUAUCUUGACAGCUGAAGGAGUUGCAGUUGACCCUGAGAAAGUAGAAGUUGUCUCCCAUUGGCAGCAACCCACCAAUGUGAGUGAGGUUAGAAGUUUUCUUGGAUUAGCUGGAUAUUAUCGAAGGUUUAUAGAAGGAUUUUCCAAGAUAGCCAGACCCAUGACAGAGCUUCUUAGGAAGGAUAAGAAAUUCACUUGGACAGAAUCAUGUGAGAAGAGUUUCCAAGAGUUGAAGAAGAGACUAACAACAACACCAGUGUUAACCUUGCCAGACAUUCACCAAGAUUUCAUCAUAUACUGUGAUGCCUCAAGAGAAGGUUUAGGAUGUGUUCUCAUGCAAGGAGGAAAAGUGGUUGCUUAUGCAUCCCGUCAGCUUAGACCACAUGAGCAAAAUUACCCUACCCAUGAUUUGGAGUUAGCAGCUAUAGUACAUGCUCUCAAGAUUUGGAGACACUACCUCAUUGGAAACAAGUGUGAAAUCUACACUGAUCACAAGAGUUUGAAGUACAUCUUCACACAGUCAGACUUGAACCUAAGGCAAAGAAGAUGGUUAGAAUUAAUCAAGGACAAUAACCUUGAGAUUCAUUACCACCCAGGAAAGGCCAACGUGGUAGCAGAUGCCCUAAGCAGAAGGUCAUAUGGUCAGCAGUUGGUGCCUAAGAACACUCACCUACAAGAAGAGAUAGCACAGUUGAACAUGCAUAUAGUACGCCAACCUCAAAAUGGCAGUCUGAUGGUGCAGCCAACUCUUGUGGAAGAAAUCAUGCAGACACAACAUAAGGAUAAGGAUCUGAUGAAGAUUCGUGAGCAAACUGGAGAAAAUAAAGCUCCAUACUUUAGAGUGGAUAACAAAGGAGUAUUGUGGUAUAAAAAUAUGAUUUGUGUGCCCAAGGAGGGAAAGUUUCAAGAAUUAAUCCUUGAUGAAGCCCAUAACUCAGCAUAUUCUAUCCACCCUAGUGCCACCAAGAUGUACAGGACCUAAAAGAAAGAUAUUGGUGGAAUGGAAUGAAAGCUGAUGUGGCACGAUUUGUUGCACAAUGUGAUAUAUGCCAAAGGGUUAAAGCAGAGCAUCAGAAACCAACAGCCUUGGCCAUUGCCUAUUCCUGUUUGGAAAUGGGAUCAGAUAGGCAUGGAUUUUGUGAAUGGAUUACCCAAAACUCUGAAAGGAAAUGAUUCAAUAUGGGUAAUAGUGGACCGCCUUACCAAGGUUGCUCACUUCAUACCUGUACGCACCAAAUAUAGUGGAGACAAGUUAGCCCAGCUAUAUGUGGAUAACAUAGUCAAAUUGCAUGGUGUGCCAAGUAGGAUUGUAUGUGACCGAGGUACCCAAUUUACCUCUAAGUUCUGGAAAAGUUUGCAUGAAGCUAUGGGAACCAAGCUAGAUUUUAGCUCAGCUUAUCAUCCUCAAACAGAUGGUCAGACUGAAAGAAUAAAUUAGAUUAUGGAAGAUAUGCUAAGAGCAUGUGUGCUCACGUAUGGUAAAGAUUGGGAGAAAAGCCUAACUUAUGCAGAGUUCUCCUGUAAUAAUAGUUACCAAGCUAGUUUGGGCAUGUCACCUUUUGAGGCCCUGUAUGGAAGAAAAUGUAGAACCCCAUUGAUGUGGUCAGAAGUUGGAGAACGAACCUUGCUUGGACCAGCCUUUAUAAAGGAAGCAGAAGAUCGUGUAGCUAAAAUCAGAGAAAAAUUGAAAGAGGCACAAUCACGUCAAAAGAGCUAUUCUGAUAAAAGAAGGCGAGAGUUAUGUUUUGCAGUUGGAGAUUUUGUGUAUAUCAAAGUCUCUCCUAUUCGAGGAACUCGAAGGUUCCAAGUUAGAAGCAAGCUAGCACCUCGGUAUAUUGGACCAUAUCAAGUAUUACAGAGGAUUGGAGCUGUAGCCUAUCGUGUUUGGCUACCUGAAGAAAUGUCAGAUAUACACAAUGUGUUUCAUGUCUCCCAAUUGAAGAAAUGUCUCAGAGUACCAGAGGAACAAAUAUCGCCAGACACAAUUGAUUUACAAGACGACCUAAGAUAUUAAGAAGUGCCAAUAAAAAUCCUAGAUACAGUCACCAAGCAAACUCGAACGACAACAGUCCGAAUUUGUCGUGUUCAGUGGAGUAGACACACUGAAGCAGAAGCAACAUGGGAAAGAGAAGAUGCCCUGAGAAAAGAGUUUUCCCAUCUAUUUAGGACCCAGCCGAAUCUCGAGGACGAGAUUCCUUUUAAGUGGGGUGGGUUUGUAACAUCCCAAAAAUUCACAUUCAAAAAUCACUUGCGUUAAAAAUUAUUUUUAAAAUAUAUUUCAAAAACUAUAAAAUAAUUUGAGCUCUAUAGUAUCUCCAUCUAAUCCAUCCUAAUUAUCUAUCUUUAAAUAUAACCUGCACCACAUGGCAUGAGCAUCACAUGUCCGCUACUUAUCCCUCUUGCUCUCUCGCUCUGCCCGAUACCCGGCAACGGCGCGUGCGCCGACCCCACCACCACCAGCGCCGCAGCGCACUCACGCCCAGCGCCCUCGCCGAGCGCACUCGCUCGCGCGCGCACCGCGGCAUGUGGGCCCCACCUCUUGCCUUUUUCCCGCUCCUCUUUUGCUGUACAAAAAGAUAGCAAGUCGCAACGCACAACUGGGCACCAUCCAUAUUUUUCGCGCACAAAUAACAGCGAGUACUAGCAAGCUUACAUGCAAGAAAACAUAGCAGUGCACCUACACGAAUAUAUAUCUCAUGCAUGCAUGCAGGACGAGCAUGCACCGUCCAUUUGUAUGCACCUGCAUGCAAGGACAUGGUGAUUAGGCACCGUCCACUUGCACGCACCGUGCAUGCAAAUGAGACAUUACCAUUUGCAUGAAAAUUAGGCACCACCCACCGUCUUGUCGUCCUGUGUAGCCAUGCACUACAGUAGCAAUUCUAAUGGCACGAAGCUGAGCACCAGAGGCAUAACCUCACUCCUCUGGCCUAUAAAAAGCCAGCCUCGGGUGCUCACUCUCACCAUCCGAAAAACACGUUCACUCACUCGCUCACUCACUCUCACUUCGUGUAUACCGUAUACGACCAUACGCACAAGCCGAGCUCGACUGUCGUCGCAAGACGAGGGGAGCAGCUCAUGAGCAUCUCCUUGCUCUUCUUUGUCUUUCUGUAGUAUUUUCCUGUAUUUUUCCUUGUAUUUGUCUGUACCGGUCCAAGAACUCCACGAAUAGAACCAUGACAUAUAGAAGAGCUCUAAUGACCCCUGCUAAUUUCUCUCUAACCAUGCAUGUGUGGGCCAUAAGCAUUAACACCAAAUAGUACAUGCAUGCAUGCAACAUGCACUACCAGCCAAAAUUCAUCUCGUGAAGCAUGUAUUUCUUACUCAUUGUUAGCCUUUUUCGCAUGAUUAAAGUUCGGCCAUUUUACAAAUGCCACAUGCUAACUCUGAUUUUAAUAAUUUUUUUCCUAAAUUCAUCUAAAAUCAUGAUCUACCUCCCAUAUUAAUUUCAUGAUUUUUGGAGCUAAUUUGAAUUUAUAUGAUUAUUUAUCUGUGCCUGUUGUCUGUGUCGUUCGUCGCGUAUUUUAGCUGAUGGAGUGAACGAGCUGGAAAACGAGAACGUUGAAAACGAGUACCGCGAGUUUGACGCCGAGGACCCGGACUGUCAGCAGGAGUUUGCCGAGGACGCCGACGGAGGCAAGUCCAACCGAUCCCCUUUGAUGCAUAUUGAUCCUAUUUUUAAACAUAACCCGUAGAAGCCGUUUUAAAUAUUGCAUGUACGAUAUAUGUACGAAGUAUUUUUGCUGCUUAGUUAAAACCUGUUGAAUAGCCAUCCUUGAAUUGAUAUUACCCGGUAAUUAUCUUGUUCGAACCUAGGAACAAAUAAUAUGCUAUGACAGAAAUAUUAUUAUUUAGUAUGCUUUGGACUUGUUACUCAUCCUAGAUACUCAUCGUUGUAUUUUCUCAAAUAUAAUGAUUUUAAAAGUAAAAGGUGUGAGUGGUGAAAAUAAAUUGUGGGUAUUUUGAAAGAGUUAAUGAACAAGUUAUAGAUGUGAUUACUAUAGAGAUGGAACGGAUGGGAUCUCUUUUGGGGAUGCCCUGGUAUUGUGGCUUAUACCUUGCGGGGUUAAGCGUGAAGAUAUCCGCCUUGUCUCGAUUAAGGACUGAGUUGAUGAUUCAUCUGGCCUAACUCAUUUAUCGUACAACCACUCGCCUUGCAUGGGAAAGGCUUAGUCUAAAUCCCUCUAGUUAGUAUAGCAAUCACCUGGAGGCAGGUGUGCAACGGGACACUAAGUGAUGUAUGUGAAAUUAUGGAAAUAUAUGAAAAGAGCUUUGUGAAUUAUUGUGGUAUCAUGAGAUGUGGCCUUAGUGUUCCCGUGGUGAGCGCCAUUACUUAGCUAUGGAGGGUAAUGACUUUGAUGGAUCUGUGCUUGCACGACGUUGUAAGUUAUGGUAUCCUACUUGUGGGAAAAGUGUACAACCUCUGCAGAGUGUAAAUCUAUCUGGAUAGCCGUGUCCGCGGUCUCUGACGGGUUAUGGUUUGGUUUCAACAACUAGAUGGGUUGGUAUGAGUGAAAGCAUGUGAAAGAGUGUGAUUUUGGAAAUAAAUGGUUGACUGCCAUUGUGUUGUGGGAACAAGGGUUCAACAACACUUAAAAUUGUGAUCAAACCCCCAUUUUCAGAAAUACUAUCAUAUGUGGAAAAAGAGUUCUUUUACAACAGUAUUUAUGAAAUGAAACCUUGCAUGUGUAAAAAGAUAGCUUUAUGCAAAUAAAACUAAGCCUCAUCCUUGAUUUAUCCAUAUGCAUAUAUACUGUUAUCCCCUUCCGUAGGGUAAGGUUGGAUUUGCUGAGUACUUUGUACUCACCCUUACUUUAUUAAAUAGAGGAAGAUCCGGACUUCGAUCCCGAAGUGGCGUCGAGUAAGAUCGUGUCUGCACCCAACUAAGCCUGUGGCAUUGGGACUCGUCAGAUGUUCGAUGGCGAUAUCGUUUGUUUCUGGGUCCUUUGGACCUAUGUUGUAUUUUGGUGUCUUAUUAUUAUCGCGUGCCUUCCUUGUCCACGCUUUCCAAGACUACUGCGCUGAAACUUAUCUGAUGUAAUAAAUGUGUUACUAGCCUCCUGGGACUAGUAUUGUAUCACAUUUGAGUUCCUGGUUUACCAGGAGCGCUUCACUUCGUGUCCUGGAAAUCCUUGAAACUACUGUACUGAUUGGCCUCUCCACCUUGACGGACAUGGCGACCACCCCGAUUGUGCUGCGCCAUAGUUUGCAUAGCCUCAUUGAGCAUGCGCUGGCCCUCAACAAGAGCUGCCAAUAGCUGAGUAGGUGUAGGCGGGGGAGGAGGUGGUGGUGGCGGCACCUCGUUGUGACCGGAGCGAGUAUUGCGAGCCAUCUGCACAAGGCAUACCAAGUGACUGUUUAAGGCAACAGAUAUAAUUGUCAUGAAUUUCAAUUGCUGCCAUACGGAAUUUAAUGAAUUAAAUUCACAUAAAUUAAGGCACAAUAAUCCAUGUACAAUAAGAGAAUAUCUUCCAUGACUCUUGGUUAUUCUCGCGAUCAUUCACAACCACAAUUCCUCAAGGAUUAAAGACAUUGCAGAGAAUUAUUUAAGCUUAACAUAAACAUGGAGCAUCACAAAUAAGUGCAUAGGGUUACAUAGAGUCAUUGCCACAACUUAAGUUUUACAGGAGGGGCACCAUGGCCAAAUACAUAGAGUCUCAACUAAAAUUCAGAUUACAUGUCCAUUACACAAAGAGAUGGAAACUGAUACAUGAUCAUGGAAUUAUUGCUAGGCUACAUAUCUUCCUCAGAUUCUCCAUUAGAAAUGAUGCCAUCAUCCUGAUCUUCCUCACUAGGAGCUUCUUCAUGAUUAAAAGGGGCUGGAUGUGGAAUAGGAUUUAUGAUAUUAUUUAAGCGAUGGACAUCUAACUGCAGCUCAGCAAUCCUAGUAAUCAGCUCUUCCUCUCUCAUUUCAACAUGGAACAAAGCUCUAACUCCAGCAGCUUCUCUAUUUUCAGCCAAGCGCAUAGCCUCAUCUCUCUCUCUAGUCAUUUGCAUCAUGUGGGCUUGUGCCUUAUUGCGCUCUCUAACUGUGUUCUCAACUUGGUUGCGGCGGGCUUGCAAAGCGGUGUGAUAGUUUUGGAUUUCAGCUUGUGCAUCCAUAAAAGCCUUGCGAUGCUUGCGCACUCGCUUGCACAGUUUGCGCUGCCCAACUUGAGCUUGUUGAAGCGCUAGCAUGGCGUCUAUGUAAGUGUCCUGACGUACAUAGUACAGCUUAAGUACCGCCAACAUGGCACUCAUGGCAGGGCUAGAGCUAUAUCCUAGCAGGGUUUCUCUCAUCUCUAAAGGCUCAUUCCAUAUCUGAGACACAAAUGUGUCAGUCACACUGACUCUAGGGAUGGAUCCAGCUGGGCCAUUCACUAGCUCAUCACCAUAAUCUUUGCAUAUCUCCAGCAAUACUUCUAAGGCUGCUACUUGGGCACCCUCCCAAGGAGUUUGGCCAUCGCACUCAACUAUCCAACCUAGCCACUCUAGGUUAUUUGGACAAGGGGAACUGGAAUUUGGACAUCUACCCAAGGUAAGGCUCCUGCAUGCUCAGACUCGGUCCAAGUGUACUUUGGUGGUUCCUCAUAUCCAACUGAACUUAGCACCCUCCACAACAAAGUAGGAGUGCCAAACAUGUCCAAGAAAGUCUCACUUGCGUGUGGGGCGGCCAUCUGUAGAAAGACCACAUUUGAGUAAGGGGGAUUAAUUACAAGGAAGGUAAAUAGAUAUAUUUUCAGAAUUUAAUACUUAAGUAGUGCAUAAGGAAUGCAUGAAUGAUUCAUGAUGCAUGCACGUUCCAUACGUCCUUUCCACUCCUAGAAGAAAGUUCUAACGGUAUAGUCGGUGGCAUACGUACGUGUACUCUUUAUACGCAACUACACGGUCUACACGUUUCGUUGUUAGUGCACCUGUAGAAAAUUUCAUUUCAGCCCAACCCCACAAUAGUAUACGUGUAGAAAUAUAAAUCCAAUCAUCAACAAUCAAGCUAGAUACUCCAAUAUAUAUUCUCAAACAUAUAUCGCAGCACACUACCCAUUUUGAAUACACCCACAUAUACAUCAAAUAUGUAUACAUGGCUGCACCUACUACCCAUAAUUAAGUACCUUCAUAUAUACAUGUGUAAAACAUGUAAAUAUUCUAGUAACCACAGCUAACACUCCCCUAGACCGACGGUUGGACGGUCAUGCUCUCACAGCUCACACUUACAGUGGCGUAGAGGCAUAUAGAUCCAUACAUUACCACUCAAGCAAGUGGCAUCCAUACAAUUUCAUGCCGUAUGGACGACGAAAGAAAACAAGCAAUGCUUACCAUGGCGUAGAGGUAUGUGAUCCAUUCAUUACCACUUAAGCAAGCGGUAUCCAUAUAAUUGCACGCCAUAUGGACGACGAAAGGAAAAACCCCCAUGUUAGUAAUAAUAAGCCACCUAGAAGUCCUUAUAUGGGCAUAGAGGGUAUGACCACUGGCAUAGUAUAAGUUAUAAAAAUGUUUUAAACAACCCUAUGUAUAGUCUAAUUUUGCCAAAUUAGUUUGAGAAAAACAAAUUCAUUUGUUUUCAAAUACAUCUAUGAUGGUUAAAUGCUUAAUCUUGCUCUGAUGCCAGCUGUAACAGAACCGUCCAAUUUAUAAGAAUUCAAGUGAAUUAGCGACCACGGAGGCAGUCAAGCCAAUGGACUUGAACCCAUAUAAACCCGGUGGUCCGACGAAAUCUCAAAAGACCUCGAUUCAACCAACAUACAACCAAGAUCGUACAUGAUCAAGCAUCGCCAUCACAGAUUACAAACAUUCAUCACAGAACAUAGUUUUACAUCACAUCAGAGUUGAACGUGGUUAUUACAAACCAAAGCAGUAGCGGAAACAAAGUAGUUUUGAAACAACACCAACUCAGUUUAUAUUACAUGCCAGCUCCAUAGUCAAACCCCACAAAAGCACAACCGAAAAUAAGAGGGUGAUCAUACCCAUGAUCUAUUCAUCGUCCGCAGCCGGGUGAUGGCAGUUAGCGCAAUAGCCGUGAUAAACGACAUCAUCUGCAAUAGGGGUAAAUAAAACCCUGAGUACGAGAAUGUACUCAGCUAGACUUACCCGUCAUAAACCAAAAAUAAAGAGACACCAAGGAGUAUGCAAGGCUGAUCUUUGUGGACUGGUUUGACUCACCUUUUUGCAUAAAAGCUUUUUUUGUAAGUAACCCAUUAUCAAAUUUUAGCAGCAGGUUUAUUACUUACAACUAUCCACUAGAUUAGCACCUGAUCUAAGCAUACACUUGAGUAUUUAAGCAUCACAAUAAUAACCAUAUCCGGAUUAUCACAUAGCUAUAAACAUUCUCAUCAUAACCAUUAAGUUUAUUUAGUGAAUUCUACGUUGCCGCUGUCCAAGUCAAGUUCUCACAAUCCGGGAGAUACGGCGAUUCGAAUCGAUUCCUAUCUGGCUAGAGGGGUAUUCCUAACACUCACCCAAGCAUACUUCAUGACGGCAGCUCGGAUCACCUUUAGCACAAUUCCGGACCAAUUCGCAGGUCCGUACGGCGCCGCACCCCCAGGGACCGCCAAUCUGCCAGGGUCAGGACUCUAACCUGACACCUCGGUCUUACGCCAUUGACUCCCCGCACAUCCUUACUACCAACCGGGGUGCGCACUUGAACCGAACGGGGUAUCCGGCUGGAGAUGCACUCGUAGGCUUCACGGUCGGAACGACUUAUCCGGCCAACUAAGUGAUAGGCAUGCGUUCAACAUGACAUGGGGACGUACAACGAUUCGGUCCUUAAACGACACAGACGGGGAUAGAUUCACACCCAAGACCUCCAUGCCUUGUUGCUGCACUAUCGUCAUCCCGCCCGGUCUCAAGUUCAUUAUUAACACAUGGUUAUUUCCACGAUAGCAAAAGCCAACCGUGAUCAUCAUCCACCUAACUCUCGCAGGUGACAGGAAAUCACAUGGCUUCUACCAAGCUAAGCCUGGCUAAACAUUAAUUCGAUCCUGGACCUACUUUGGUGAGGUAUGAGGUGGACAAGUUAGUCAUUAUGCAGCAAGGGUGUCAUAUCAACACCUACCACUUAAUGCAACAAUAUAUAACCAUAGUCAAUUGAUAGCUGAACAUGAUAAUAAAAUAGUAGGAGGCUUAUAAUGCUCCGGGGCUUGCCUUCGACGUAAGUAGAGGAACGGUGAUCAGGGCACUUCAGCAAGUCCUCCUCCUCCUCAGCUCCUUGAGGUAGCUCCCCUUGCUGCCCUUCCGACUCCGGCAGCUCGAACUCCAAAACGGUCACGCCGUUGGGUACACUGUGUAUGCAUGAUAAGGAGAUAAAUAUAGAGAAUGCACAUAUGAUGCAUGAUGUCAUGAUGAAGAGCCUAAGGAGCAUAACAUGGUAUAAUCACGUACAUAAACCUUAAGAUUAAGUGAAUCAUGUAAUAACACGUAAAUGCAUACUUCUUCUCUGGUAGAGAGGCUAACCAGACAAAUUAAACAAAUCCUAGCUACUCCUACUGAGUCACUGGUUUAGUAGACAAAUCAACCUGUCACAAGUUUCAGCCAUAACUUAAGCAUCAUUUGGCCAACCUAAGUAAUUAGAUACUCUCUGGAAAGCUUAGCAAAUUGUCUACAAUUCACUUUUAGACAUCCUAGAAAGAUUCGCAACCGAAAUAUGCUGAAACAUACAAAGUUGGCUGGCUGCUCUGGAAAAUCCAGAGAGCAAGCACUUCACAGCAGCAACUUGUAACAUGCAUAACUUUUAAACUACUCAACCAAAUGUCAUGAAACUUGGACACGAAGUAGAUAAGUAAGUUAGCUAUAAGUGUGUUGUAGACAAGUUUCCCAUAA